rnacentral:lncRNA from 1 species
GAAGUUGUGAGAUAUGGGGCUGAAGUCGGCAGCCCCAGCCGACUUCAGCCCCGUCCCCAUUCUAGGAAGGUCGGAACAGAGGAUCGCGAUUGCGAUCCUCUCCGGUUCUUCCGGGGACAAACCAGGCAAGGGCGCCGCAGGAAUCCCGCGGCGCCCUCCCUCCGACCGAUCCGCGGCCAAUCCCGGCCGCGGAAUCCUCUCGGCCGCCGCGAUUCACGCGGCGGAGAGUCGCCGCGAGGGGUGAUAAAAAACCCCCAAGCCCUCCUCUCCUCCGCAUCCUCCUCCUCCUCCUCCUCUUCCCCCCUUCGCUCCUCCUCCUCUCCUUGGUGACCGGCGUCCUCUUCCCGACCGAGCGCCGCCCGGACUCCCUUNNN